ACGAACACACACUCAGAGUGGUUCUCAUACACACUGCAGGAGCAGACCUUCCUGUACUGGGGUGGUAACUGGACAUAGAAGUAUUGAGGGGACUGUAGUAAACAGGGUGUACAGGGUCUAAAGAGACUUGAACUAGCUGGGAGCCACAAGUCAUCAUGGUUAUCCUGCUGGUCCUCACACUGAAGGUUGUCCUCGUCUUAGCUGCUAUGUGGAGUGUGUGUUCAGCAGAGUUGAUCACAGUGGAAAGAUAUAAGGGAGGCAAGGCAGAGAUCAGAUGCCCCUAUAGAGAGGAGUGGAGGAGCCACCAGAAGUACAUAUGCAAAGGCAGCAAAAUGGAGUGUAUAAAAUUUUUGGGAGACAAUGAUAUUGAGACUGAGGAUGAAGAACAAAGCUCUAAAUGGAGAUACUCCCUAUAUGACGACAAAGGGGUCAGAGUCUUCAUUGUGACCAUCACCAACCUGAUGUCAGAUGAUUCUGGAACAUACUGGUGUGGAGUGGAACGAUUUGGACUGGACCCUGAAGUGCAUGGAGAUUGGUGUUGUGAAAACCCAGCUGAAGUGACAGGCUCUGAAGAAGUGACAGGCUAUGAAGAACGGUCAGUCUCCAUCCAUUGUAUGUAUAAUGAAAAAAAUGAAGACAAUGAGAAAUACUUCUGCAAAGCGAAUACACUAUCUAAGUGUCUAGUUGAUGUAAAAGUGACAACAACCAAAAGCCAAAACGGGAGGUUCUCACUGUUCGACAACAAGACAGACAGAGUUUUCACCGUGACCAUCACCAGACUAACCCAAGAGGAUGCUGGGAGAUAUCUCUGUGGUGUACAGAACAACCACACAACCAAUACCCUGUCAGCAGUUCAGCUUGUUAUCAAGAGUAAGACAUUUCUUUAAUUUGCUUGUUCUGCAUUGUGAGACAUGUUGAUCAGGACACAGCUGUGUCAGUGACCACAGCUUAACUUCAUGUGUGAUUAAAUGUACUUACUUCAUGUACGUAUGUAUUUAGGGUAUUUGCACCUGAGAGAGAGUGAGAGAGAGAGAGAGAGAGAGAGAGAGAGAGAGAGAUGAAUGACAACAAAAAUAUCUCAACAGGAAGAGCAGAAACCACACUUCCUUCUUUACGCCUGUCAUUUCACCAACUUUAUCAUCACCACCUAUUGCCACCUCCGUCUCACCAUCAUCCAUCUUAACAUCAACACACAACAAUUCUGAUACAUCAGUGGUCAUCAUAGUAUCUGGGACUCUGGUCAUGCUGCUAUUGGUGCUUGUGGUCAGCCUGCUCAUAGUCUAUAGAUGGAAAUUCAACAAGGAAACAGCUGACUCCUCAGCACCCAGGGUGAACACAGACACUCGGAUCAACAUAGAGGGUUGUCAUGGUGAUGGUGACUAUGAGGAAAUAAAGGACCGCCUCCUACAGUCCAGUUCAGGUAGUGAGACCAACACCAUCUACUCCACUGCCAACUUACCCACAAGCCCCUCUGACUGUCUCAACUACGCCAAAAUCAACUUCCACAAGGACCCCUCUUCCAUCUGAUGUUUCCAUGACUUCUCUCUUCCAUCAGAUGUUUCCCUGACUUCUCUCUUCCAUCAGAUGUUUCCCUGACUUAUCUCUUCCAUCAGAUGUGUUUCCCUGACUUCUCUCUUCCAUCAGAUGUGUUUCCCUGACUUCUCUCUUCCAUCAGAUGUUUCCCUGACUUCUCUCCUCCAUCAGAUGUGUUUCCCUGACUUCUCUCUUCCAUCAGAUGUUUCCCUGACUUAUCUCUUCCAUCAGAUGUGUUUCCCUGACUUCUCUCUUCCAUCAGAUGUGUUUCCCUGACUUCUCUCUUCCAUCAGAUGUGUUUCCCUGACUUCUCUCUUCCAUCAGAUGUGUUUCCCUGACUUCUCUCGUCCAUCAGAUGUGUUUCCCCGACUUCUCUCUUCCAUCAGAUGUGUUUCCCUGACUUCUCUCUUCCAUCAGAUGUGUUUCCCUGACUUCUCUCUUCCAUCAGAUGUGUUUCCCUGACUUCUCUCUUCUAUCAGAUGUGUUUCCCUGACUUCUCUCCUCCAUCAGAUGUGUUUCCCUGACUUCUCUCUUCCAUCAGAUGUGUUUCCCUGACUUCUCUCUUCCAUCAGAUGUGUUUCCCUGACUUCUCUCUUCCAUCAGAUGUGUUUCCCUGACUUCUCUCUUCAACUUGUCUUAAUGUUACUUAAUUGCAUGUUAAUAUCUGCAGACAAAUAUUGUCUAUUAUUUGGCAAGCACUGAAAAAGGUAUCACAACUUUUUGACCAAGCCAGUAUAACUGUCUAUUUUUGUUUUUUAACUCAUUUAUAAAUGAUUAAAUCACCAUUAAUUAUAUAGUUUUAGAGUCUUUAUGAAGGGUUUCUUCAUGUAAAGUUUGAUACAACCCAGUAAGCACUUACUGUACCUAGUUGCAGAACCAAGACAGGUGACGGAGAGUUCUCUAUCAAAGACCCUCAAUUAUGAAACAGCUUGCCCUGUCAAGUAAGAGUGGCAGACAUGAUUGAAGAUUUUUAAAUCACUGUCAAAAACACACCUUUUAAAAUCACAGUUAACAAUGCACCUUUUAGCUUGGACAUUCUCUGUGUUUUAUGUUCUUUUAUUCAUCCUUUUUACUGCUUCCUGUUUGCUUCAAAUUUUUAAUUUGAUUGUUUUGUUGUGAAUUGUGUUGCGAUUUUAAAUGGACUUUAAAUUCAAGGAGCAGUGCAGUUAAACAUGUGAUUGGACAUUACAGUAUUUUGUUUACGUUGUUGACAAAAAAUGACAAUCCAUUUUAAUUCCAUUUUGUAACACAAUAAAACGUGGGGAAAAUCUA